rnacentral:siRNA from 1 species
UUGUACUUGGUUCGAAUUGUGAAC